rnacentral:rRNA from 1 species
UACGUAGGGGGCAAGCGUUAUCCGGAUUUACUGGGUGUAAAGGGAGCGUAGGUGGCAUGGUAAGCCAGAAGUGAAAACCCGGGGCUCAACCCCGCGGAUUGCUUUUGGAACUAUCAGGCUGGAGUGCUGGAGGGGUAAGCGGAAUUCCUAGUGUAGCGGUGAAAUGCGUAGAUAUUAGGAGGAACACCGGUAGCGAAGGCGGCUUACUGGACAGAAACUGACACUGAGGCUCGAAAGCAUGGGUAGCAAACAGG